rnacentral:rRNA from 1 species
AUCGCGGACCUCUUCCAGAGGUUUCGGUGCUGAAGGGAAGCCCAAGAGUGUGCUACCUGGGAAGUAUAGCCGCCAGGCCGAAACUUAAAGGAAUUGGCGGGGAGACACUACAACAGGUGACGCGUGCGGUUCAAUUGGAUUAUACACCGUGAACCUCACCAGGAGCGAUAGCAGAAUGAAGGUCAGUCUAAAGGGCUUACCUGACACGCUAAGAGGAGUUGCAUGGCCGACGUCAGCCUGUGCCGUGAGGUGACCUGUUAAAUCAGGUAACAGGCAAGAUCCACAUGUAUAUUUGUUAUUACCAUAUACAGAUUGCCUUGGUAACAAGGAUGAAAGUGUGGGCUACGUUAGGUGAGUACAGCCCGAAUCCCCUGGGCAACACGCGCGCGUCAAUGGUGAAUACAACGAGAUGCGACUCCGAAAGGAGAAGCCAAUCUCUUAAAGUUCAUCACAGUUCAGAUUGAGGUUUGUAACUCAGCCUCAUGACGAUGGAAUCUGUAGUAAUCGUUUGUUAUCAACGAACGGUGAAUAUGUCCCUGUCUCUUGCACACACUGCCCGUCAUACCAACCGAGUUUGGUUGUGGUGAAACCCUUCGGGGGAGAACCUUGACUAGAUGAGGCAGGUCAAGUCGUAACAAGGUAGCC